rnacentral:rRNA from 1 species
CAGCAGCCACGGGAAAACGUAGGGUGCAAGCGUUGUCCGGAAUUAUUGGGCGUAAAGAGCUCGUAGGCGGUUUGUCGCGUCUGCUGUGAAAUCCCGAGGCUCAACCUCGGGCUUGCAGUGGGUACGGGCAGACUAGAGUGCGGUAGGGGAGAUUGGAAUUCCUGGUGUAGCGGUGGAAUGCGCAGAUAUCAGGAGGAACACCGAUGGCGAAGGCAGAUCUCUGGGCCGUAACUGACGCUGAGGAGCGAAAGCGUGGGGAGCGAACAGGAUUAGAUACCCGAGUAGUCCCUGUCUCUUAUAC